rnacentral:rRNA from 1 species
CCCAGUGUGAUUCGUCACACUAUCAUUAACUGAAUCCAUAGGUUAAUGAGGCGAACCGGGGGAACUGAAACAUCUAAGUACCCCGAGGAAAAGAAAUCAACCGAGAUUCCCCCAGUAGCGGCGAGCGAACGGGGAGGAGCCCAGAGCCUGAAUCAGCAUGUGUGUUAGUGGAAGCGUCUGGAAAGGCGCGCGAUACAGGGUGACAGCCCCGUACACAAAAGCGCAUGUGCUGUGAGCUCGAUGAGUAGGGCGGGACACGUGGUAUCCUGUCUGAAUAUGGGGGGACCAUCCUCCAAGGCUAAAUACUCCUGACUGACCGAUAGUGAACCAGUACCGUGAGGGAAAGGCGAAAAGAACCCCGGCGAGGGGAGUGAAAAAGAACCUGAAACCGUGUACGUACAAGCAGUGGGAGCCCCACCACCAAAGCAUUUGCUGUACCGCGUUGACGGAGCGAAGCGACGUCAAACCGAUAAAACAGCAGUGUAAAGUGAGCCGCAGGGCGCUUUGCGCGACAGCGCAAAGGCAGGCGGUUUCGCGUAGCGAAAGCGAAUGCUUUGGGGUGGGGUGACUGCGUACCUUUUGUAUAAUGGGUCAGCGACUUAUAUUCUGUAGCAAGGUUAACCGAAUAG